rnacentral:snRNA from 1 species
GUACUUGCCUGAUGCUGGGGCCUCGCUCAUCACCGAGGACGAGCCCCCAGGGCAAGGCGCGGGCAUUGCACUGCGCCGCGUUGACCCCUGCCGCUACCCCAAACUGGGACAGAUGUGGCACGCAAAUUGCUUAAAUGCGGUUCAACUCAAGAGAGGGCGCC